AAUCUUGCGCAAUGGGCGAAAGCCUGACACAGCCAUGCCGCGUGACUGAUGAAGGUCUUAGGAUUGUAAAAUUCUUUCACCGGGGACGAUAAUGACGGUACCCGGAGAAGAAGCCCCGGCUAACUUCUUGCCAGCAGCCGCGGAAAUACGAAGGGGGCUAGCGUUGCUCGGAAUUACGGGGCGUAAAGGGCGAGGAGGCGGAACGUUAAGUCCUAGAUGAGAGCCCGGGGUGGAACCUCGGAACUGCCUUUGAUACGGGCGAUCGUGAGUAGGAGAGAGGUAUGUGGAACUCCGAGUGUAGAGGUGAAAUUCGUAGAUAAUCGGAAGAACACCAGUGGCGAAGGCGACAUACUGGUUCAUUACUGACGCUGAGGCGCGAAAGCGUGGAGAGCAAACA
rnacentral:rRNA from 1 species